GUCUUCAGUCGUCACUCAAAUUCGCCCUCCGCCGCGAUCGCGAUGACGACGCUCCUCCGCCGCCUGCUCCGCGCGGCUCCGCCCCCCGUCCCCGCUUCCCUCUCCAGCCACCUCCCCUUGUCCACCAGAUCUCGCCGCACCCCUCACCGCUUCCGCCGCAGGCACCGCGGCGCCAACCCGGCGCCGCCCUCCCCCGACGCCGUCUCAGCAGCUAUCGCAUCCCUCCCGUCCCGCUUCACCCCGCCCGUGCUCGCCUCCUUCCUAGCCUCCACCUCCGACACCCGCCUCCUCCUCCCGCUGCUCACCCACUCUCUCCACCUCCCCGCGUUCCGUCCCGACCCUGCCCCCUUCCUCGUCGCCAUCAAACGCCUCGCCACCGCCGACCUCUACGCGGACUUCGACCGCACCUGCGCGCUAUCCUUCUCUCUCCUUCCCUCGCUCUCUUCCCCUGGCCCCCUCCUCCGCAACGCGCUUUACUUCUACUGCCAGUUCGGCAGGCUCGGCAAGGCCUUCCACGUCUACACCCUCAUGCGCGCCUCCGCCGACCCCGCAGCGCGCCCUUCCGCCGACACCUACCACGCGCUCUUCACCGCGCUGCUGUCGCGCGGAGGCGGCGACACCUUGGUCCAUUACAUGUACAUGGACAACGUGACGGCGCUGUUCAGGCAGAUGCUCGAGGAGGGGAUCCCGCCGGACACGCGCACGCUCAAUGUGCUCAUCAGGGGCUACGCGCAGUCACUGCAUCUCAACGACGCGCUGCGCCUGUUCCACCAGAUGCGGCCCCUGUACGGGUGCGAGCCGGAUGCGUUCACGUACAGCUACCUCGUGCAUGGGCUGAGCGCGCAGGGCCGCACCAGGAACGCGCGGGAGCUGUUCGAUGAAAUGCGCGGGAACGGUCUCCUGCCGACAGAGCCAGCGUGCAAUGCGUUCGUCGGUGCGUUGGCUAUGGCUGGGGAGGCCAGGGACGCAGAGCGGGUGAUGUGGGAGAUGGCCAGAGCAGGGAGGGUGGUGGAUGACAUCACAAGGAGGGCAUUGGUGGAGGAGUUGUCCAGGGUCGGGAAGCGGGAGGAAGCUGACAGAUUAGCGAGGGAGAUGGAGCAGAAGGGCAUUGUGAGUGCUCGUGAGCUACGAGCACUGCUGAGUUCAAUCCGCAAUGACGAUGACGACAAUUUGGAUGUGGAUGAUAGUGGAAGGAACACCUGCAAGGUGGCGACAACCUCAUUUCUUCCAGUCGGGCUGGUACAGGCAGUCCUCGGCCUCGUGGUUCUAGUGCCUAGGCUCUACCUCAUCGACAUUGUACUUUUGACAGAUUGUGGCGACCAGGGUGGGCUACAAUAGGUGUACCAAUGUGCAGCUCUGUGCAAAUCAAAACCAAGAUCCAUGGCUAACUUGAGGCCACCUGAGCGAACUUGUCCAUUUAACACUAGCUGUGCAAAUGACAUACCAAAGACCUACCGGCUGUUUUCAAAUCCCUGUACUCUUCUCGCUUGGUACUUCAAAGUUUUCAAACUUAUGUGCAUUCUAGGCCUAUGGUGCACUGGGAGACUGGUGAGGAAGAUGUGACUGCAGGAAGGAUGUUUGGCCAAUGAUGGGUUUGACGGAUAAUUCUCUCUUUAGAUUAAAAAGAUGAGAUGGUGAGCUGAGCUCACCUAUGCCGCUUUAUUCCAUAAUUUAGUCAGGCUUGAGUGAAUUAUGGAGCAUUGAUCUGAUUAGAUGGUUUUAUAUUAAUCCUAGUGAUAGUCUCUGAUCGGUGUGUGGAAAGAAGAGCAGAAAAUAAUUGUAAACAAUAUCUAGAGUUUUGUGUUUGUCACAGAAUUUUUGAUAUGAAAAUUUUGAGCCGAUACCUCGAAUUUCA